rnacentral:tRNA from 1 species
GGGCGUUUGGCGCAGUUGGUAGCGCGUCUGCUUAGCAUGCAGAAGGUCGCCGGUUCGAUUCCGGCAAUGUCCA